rnacentral:rRNA from 1 species
CCCUUAGACGUUCUGGGCCGCACGCGCGCUACACUGACCAGUGCAACAAGCAUCCGUCCUUGGCCGACAGGCCCGGGCAAUCUUUGAACGCUGGUCGUGAUGGGGAUAGACUAUUGCAAUUAUUGGUCUUCAACGAGGAAUUCCUAGUAGACGUAGUUCAUCAGACUGCAUCGAUUACGUCCCUGCCCUUUGUACACACCGCCCGUCGCUCCUACCGAUUGGAUGAUCCGGUGAGCUAUUCGGACCUUCGCUUCGUCGAUUUUCGGCUUUGUGAGGGAAAGUCUCGCGAACCUUAUCAUCUAGAGGAAGGAGAAGUCGUAACA